rnacentral:rRNA from 1 species
AGCGAACGCUGGCGGCAGGCCUAACACAUGCAAGUCGAACGAACUCUUCGGAGUUAGUGGCGGACGGGUGAGUAACACGUGGGAACGUGCCUUUUGGUUCGGAAUAACUCAGGGAAACUUGUGCUAAUACCGAAUGUGCCCUUCGGGGGAAAGAUUUAUCGCCAUUAGAGCGGCCCGCGUCUGAUUAGCUAGUUGGUGAGGUAACGGCUCACCAAGGCGACGAUCAGUGGCUGGUCUGAGAGGAUGACCAGCCACACUGGGACUGAGACACGGCCCAGACUCCUACGGGAAGCAGCAGUGGGGAAUCUUGCGCAAUGGGCGAAAGCCUGACGCAGCCAUGCCGCGUGAAUGAUGAAGGUCUUAGGAUUGUAAAAUUCUUUCACCGGGGACGAUAAUGACGGUACCCGGAGAAGAAGCCCCGGCUAACUUCGUG